GCAACAAGAAGUAUGGGGUUGAUGUGGAUGAGACAGAGGGAAUCAGCGACAUCAACAGAGACAUUCCCGAUCACAUGAUCAUCGUCUUCUUGUCUCUGCUUGUGUUCUAUAUGGUGGUUGUUCAGCCUGGAUACAUUUAUUAGUGGCUGACAAAGGAGAAGAAAUUAAUUUGGUCACGGAUAUACUUGCAAGGCCAUUUUCAAGACAGACUUGUCAAGAAACCCUGGACAUUGUAAAAAAAAAGUGCUGGACAUGUGAAACCCACACAGGAACAACGCCAACCUCAAGAGCCAUUCACAGUAAAAUUAUGCAGUGGAAAAAAUGAUUAUGUCCUCAUCUUUAAGUGUCAUUCCAUCCAUCUGGGACCUCUUGGAGCCAUUAUACAGUUUAUGUUAGCCAAACAAAGAAGGGCUCCAUUCAACAGCUGGCAAGAGCACACAUGAAAAUUGCAGCAUUUUAUUCACAGAGUAGCCAUUAGUUUUGACUUGACAGUGACAUGUCUGUACACACCAACAUGGCAUAUUUCAUAUUUUUAUAGUAUUAAAUGGUAUAAGAGACAACAUCUGUGUAUAAUAUUAAGAGCCAGUGUGUAUUUAUUAAACUUUAUAUACUUUUACAUUUAGAGAUUUGUGCAAAAGUUGUUAUUUAGUUUUUUCAAUCAAUGUAUUCAACUGUAUAUAGCAUUAUAGAUAUUUACUAUAUAUGAUGCUGUACAAAUAUAUUUAUAACAUUUUAUACAAAUAUAUACAUAUACUGUACAUAUCGCCUUGUGUUUUAUGCAAGAAUUGUUUAUUUAAUAAGUACUAGGGUGUGAAUAUAAUAUACUGCCUGUGUCACAUUAAAAUAACAAACUAUAGUGUGUAGUAAUAGUACAAAAUAGGCUUUUACAUUUUUUUUUGUUUCUAAAUAGUGAACAUUUCUUGAACUCGUGACAGUCAUUUUUGAUACGAUGUAGCACAUAUUUGCAAGCAUCGAGUAAAACAGAAAUUAAUCACAUUAAAUUGAUAUUAAUCUGAAUUAUAUAUUGCUCUAUAACUAUACAUUUUGAUAAAGCACUGAAUAGUCAAUUCAGCUAUAUUGCAGUUGCUAACAGCCAAAGAAAACAUGAUUUUCUUUUCUAAAUACAGCAUAAUACAUAAUUGUAACGCUUCAUGCUGCAAAAUAAGCAUUAAGCUCAGAAUUUAAAACAGAGAUAAAAAUACAUUUAAUAAUAUGCACACUGCCUUAUAUAUGCAGUAUAUCACAGUAUGAACAAGUUCGUAGUUCUUUGUGCCACAAAGUGGAAGCGCUUGUAAUGAAGAGAUAGCACAAAAGAGUAAUCGUAAUUUUUGUCUGAGGGAGCAAAAACAUUUUUUUCCUUACAAAAGCAACUCCUGGGUUCAUAUAGUACAGUAUAUUGCAGUGUUAAAUCUCUUUCAAUUAUAAAUACUUUAUAAACCAGACAUUGCAAAAAGCUAAUCAUCAAUGAUAUCUCUGAUUAGUUACAGUGGUGCUUAGUUAUUUGUGUGAAAUGCCAUUUGUUCAUACUUUUGCCACUUACAGUUGUGUAAAAUUAGAUUGUUUGUUUGUGUUUCUCAAUAAAUAAAUGACCAAGUGUAAUAUUUAUGUCUCAUUUGUAUAAUUGGGUUUAUAUAGGGUUAUAUUUAGUAAGGUUUUAUAAACUUUCAAGCACCACUGUAUAUUGGUUAUAAUAAAUGGUACUGGAGCUACAACAAAGUCUUUCAGUUCAUAUGAAUACCUGAAAAGGACCAUCAAUUUGACCAUUAAUUCAUAUUUUGAUUGUCUAUAUUUUUUUAAUUCCGAAAUAAGAUAAUGGAAUAUGUUAAACUACAAGCCUAUAGAGUCUAUACAGUCUUUAAAUAGGAUUAUAUUGUACAUGACCAAAACAACUCCAUGUAAUGUUAAAAAUUUUUGACAAGCAUCCAUGAGCAUGUGCACACUAAAAAUGCUUGUGAAUACGACCAUAAAGUUUUUGAAUCCUUAAA